GGGAGAAGCCUGGAGGCCGCGCGGGCGGGCGGGGCCCGGGGAGCGGCAGUGCCGGCGUGAGGUCGCGGGGAGGGCCCUGGGCUUUGCUUUGCGGGCACGAGAAACGAUCUCUCUGUAGGGCCGCGGCGCUUCACUGCUCCUCACACCCGCCGUGCGCAGCCACACGGCCCGCGGCCCUCCCGCUGUCCAUCCAGCCCUUGGCCACCCCCCCUCCCCGGUACCCUGCGAGAGAGGAGGAGGAGAAGGGAGCACGCGAGGAGUAACAGCGCUUACAAAUGAAGCAGCAGCUUAGAAAAAAAUAACAAUUGCUUUAUUAGGAAGUUUAAUUCAAAGCACAGGAGGAAGCUGAAGAGGAAGGGUGUUUGUUCCAGAUUGCCACCCCAGGACACAGAAGGAGAGGGACGGCGUCGCUUCCAGGGCCAGGAUGGGGGUGCUGUGCCUAUGGGGCACGUCCAGGCCCCGCUCUCCUCUUCAGAUCCUUCCCUGCUCCUCGUGGAAGCCACUCAUUGCCUCCUCUGGCGAUGCUGAGCUGCGGUUCCAUGGCUCGCAGUACUGAGCUCUCCAUGCCGGCUGUGAGCUCAGGCAGCACAGUGCCAGGGCUUGUGAAUAAAACUGCCUCACCCCCAGCCGGCACACUGCUCUGUUCCUCCUCCACGGAGGCACUGCAGAGCUGAGCACGGCGCUCACACCAGGAGCUGGCUUUUGUUAUCCACAGCCCAACCCUGGCAGUGAGGAGAGCCACGCUCCCAACAGUUGUCGUGAGGUCACGGCCUUCACGUUACCAUCCCAUUUUGUCUUGUAAUCCCUCUCCUUCAUCAAGCAAUUCUCUCUUCUCUACUUCAUGCACUCUGCUUCCCAGCACCUGACUUAGCUCAAAAAUGGAGCUGAGCCCAGCCUUUCACAUUCGUCAGCACAUUCUCCACCAGAGCAGCACUCCAGGGACAGAACAGUGCUUACAUGCUCACAACGUUUUAGCCUAGUGAAGCUUUCAGUGCGAAAGCCCAGGAGCUCAGGAACCUCUACCCCUGGGGGAGGGACAUCAGAGGGGAAACCAGUCUGGAUCUGCUGCUGUGGCAGCAGAAAGCAUUGGCUAACAGCCUAGUUCAGAGACAGCCUACCUGCCCUCCAUGCACACCAAUAUCACACGAGUACUCAGGCUUCAACUCAACUCAACUGCAACCAACGUUUUCUUCUACCAAGCCCUCAGGAGAUCAUCUGCCAUCACUUCCCAGUCUAGAGCACAUUUGGGAACAGACCUUUCCAGGAGGGAGGGCUCCAGCAGAGCCACUCAACCCAGCACUCGCAGGAACAGCUCAAGUCGAGCUGCAGUGCAGCACUGGCUCAGCAUGACUGUCACUGCAUCAGGGCUGAUCGGGAGCCUGAGCCCGUGCUCCUCGUAAUCUGAUGGUGAAAGGAUUCACAGAACAGUCCAGGUCCAGAAGAGAGAAAGCAAAGGAAAAGCAGACGCUCCGGAGAGCACAGCCACGCUUAGUGCUUUGGUUUCUAAAAGACGCUUCCUAUUUUGGCACUUUGGAUAGAAGAUACACACAGAGGUUCCAUGUGUUCCAGCGAACACCUUUUGUUCUACAAAGAAAAAUAUUUGCAUUGAUCUGCUCCAAGCUAACCUAUCUUGCCCGACUACAAUAGCGGAUUAACGUAGGGAGCAGGAACACUGCCACCAUUGUUUCUGCAGUCUCUCAUUUGAUGAGAAACAAAAGGUUUCGCUCCCAUUUCUGCCAGCAACUUGCCACCAGUGGCUCCUCUCCUGUUGUCAGCAAGGAAGCAGCUCUACCUCCUGUGGGCCCAAGAUGUCCUCGUGACAGCAAUCUUUGCCUGCUUACUGCAGGCACCAGUGUGACACUCGCACCCUGGAGACACAGAGCAUCCCUGAGAGCGUGGGAAGGAGGAGCUCGGACCCCACAGCACCCUGGGCUCGCCCCAGUGCAUGCCAUCAUUGCUGCAGCUCAGCCCUGGGUUACUUCCCCUUUCUACCCUGGCUCAUCUCUGAGCCUGAGAGAAGCAGGCACCCAGCCAGCUCUCGUUCAGCAAGCGGCUUCCUUGGGAACCUUCCCUGUUGUGACAGCUCAAACAUUGCAGGGACUGCCAGGACCAAACCACUCAAGGAAGAGAUCCCCUCCCCCUUCUGACAUUGACAACCACAGCAGCAGCAGGCAACACCGCGUGCAGGAGCCUAUUUAAAAUGUCACCGAGACACAGGCUGAUGGAGGACACCAAGGCGUCCUUCCCCUGCCCUGGAGGUGAUGCUGGGGUGGGCUGCUUGGCGUUUGUGUUGUUCCUCUCCCGUGGUCUGUGCCUGCUGCAAUUUGACAGCCUCUAAUCACUCAGCGCGAACCAGAAACGUCACUCUCAUCUGUAUUGAUGGUGGUGCUACUCACCAGCACAAGAACACAUGCAGGUUCAGCCACCCACCCCAAAAGCAAGCCUCUGAGCCAUCUCACCCCUCAGCUUUAACCUUCAGGUCUUUUCUGCCUCCCCGUCACUUGAAAGCUGCAUUUUCCUCCUCUCUCCCUCUCCAACAGACGCAGCCAGUCCACAGGGCAACUUUUAUGUUUAAAGGGAAAGCCAGCAGCUUCUCAGGGAUGCAGGGUACAGAGUGGAGGAGCUCUAAGAGCCACGUGCAGGUCACAGUGAUUUCUCAGCUGUGAAAUCCACCAAAAAAAAAAAAAAAACAACCCUCACCUUUCCUCCUCACCUUCCCUGGAGGGGCUGCCAUCAGCCUCAUCUCCUGCAGCAACAAGGCCUGAACAAGGCACAAGGAGCAUAACACGCGGAGGACUUAAUUCCCUGCUGCAGCAGCAGGCAGUUCUCUGACAUCCUGCUCCCAUUUUGCUCAGAGUCAGGAGCCAUCUUGAGCCCUUUGCAGACUUGUUCCUGGCACUGCAAACAGUUACAACAGAGAAGAGUGAGCUCAUCGCCAGGGCCGUUGUUCCACUCCCCCUCCAACCCAAUCCUCUUACUCGAGUUACAAAUAAAACCCAUUUUCUUGGUC